rnacentral:lncRNA from 1 species
ACCAAUUCAAUUAAAAUCUCUCAUUUUAUUGAGAGUAAUUUGGAUGCUCAACAAAAACAAUGGCAAAAAUAGUUUGGCGGCUUGCUGCCCUCUAUUUUACACUGACCACCCCUACAAAGUGCUUGGAUACAUAAUUGAUUACAUUUGUCAUCGUCCCCACUUCCUAGAACACAACGCCCAAUAUGAUUGCUUUUACAACACUUCACCCCAUCAUCUUGACCCAUCACCCCUUCAAAAUCAGAAAAAAAAUAAUUAAAUCACCAACAAAUAAUUACAAUAACAAAAAUAUAAUUGUAUUUUAGUAAAUUAAAUAAGCAAAGGAAAUAAAUGAAAUACACACUGAUUUCUUUAUAGCUGUGGGCAAGGAAAUCGUGCCUUGCCAGUUAGGGUUUCGUGUUGGCUGAGGAGGAGAGAAAUCCACAAAGAGCACGGAAUUGAUUGGUUGAUUGAAGAGGAGAGAACGACAGGUGGGCGGAGUACGACGCGUGGCAGAACUCCUAGAAUCCGGGAACCGUGUUAGGGUAGCAGGAAUUCCAAGAGCCUUCUUGAGUCCUUCGAGUUGAGAGAAUGUCCAAACUCUUUUUAGUGCUUUUAGGUGGAAUAUCCCAGCCUUUAAGUCACCAAAAAGAGUCCCUUUUGAUCUUCCAAGAGUCCAAGUCCUGAGUCUGAAGAGAGGUCCAAACCCUUUAGCGCUUUUAGGUGGAAAAUCCAAGCCUUUAAGUCACCAAAAAGUGUCCCCCCUUCCCUUCCUAGAAUGGAAGGAGUAUUUAUAGAGUUUUCUAGAAUUAAGUAGUCACUUGUUAGGCACAUGUUUUCAGGGAAAUUUCAGAAAUACCCUUUAGUCAUUAGAAUAAUGCUCAUAUUGCCCUGUCUUUCUAGCCACCAAUCCAACCCCUCAAUCAAUUCCCAAAACAAGCUACCUCCACGAGCCUUCUGCCUCGGGACCCGUGGAGGCUUCUCUCGGGUCUCGCCUAUUUAUUUUCGGCUUUUUUCAUCUUCAUUCCAUUAGGUUAUGUGAACCCUAAUUUGCACAUUUAAUGAGGUUGCGAAACCCUAAUUGUGCAUUUAAUUCAAUUAGGUCAUGUGAACCCUAAUUUGCACUUGGGCCCACAUUUGCCCCCUGCGCGAGAGUCGCAUUUCCAAAGAGACGAUCGUGCAAGAAUAAUGCAAUCUAUUUGAAUGAUUUUGUUGGGCUCCACCUGCAGAUCUUGAAGACAAUGGUCCUAGUAGAGGGAAUCCCUAGGUAGCCCAAACCCUUAAGGUUAAACCCUAGGGAGGCAAAACCUAGCAGAGCUCUUCCCUGGACGAAUUGAGAAAUCUUCCAAAAAAUCUUUCCAUAGCUUGGACAUUUGUUUCCUUAUUUUUUCUGGAAAUUGAAACAAGAAAACAUAAUCAAAUAUCACCUAAUAGAAUGUAAUUUAAUAAAAUCCUUCUUUUCGUAAACCAAAUCUUUCCUUUUUACCAAAUCAAAUCAAAUCUUAAUUUUAUUUUGGAAAUAAAAUCAAAUCUAAAUUUUAUUUUGGAAAUAGGAUCAAAUCUUAAUUUUAUUUUGGAAAUAAGAUCAAAUCUUAAUUUUAUUUUGGAAAUAAGAUCAAAUCUUUCUUUAUUUGAUCUUGACAAGAUUAUAUAUAUAUAUAUAUAUAUAUAUAUAUAUUAUCAAAUUAAAUCAAAUCUUAUUUUUUUCUAAAAAUAAAAUAAAAUAUUCUGGAAUCUUAUUUUAUUUUAUUCAGAAAAUAAACUUUUUACUUAUCUUAUUUUGGAGAAGUAAGGAGUCGAUAUUCAUAAUCCAUGGUCACAUAUCUUGCAUCCGAAUUGCAGUAGAGACCCAUUGAAGCUAUGCAUCCGAAUUGAAGUAGAGACUCAUUGAAGCUAUGCAUGUUAUUCUACUAACAGCCAUCAAAGUUGCUAAGUGCUAAUAGCCAUCAAAGUUGUUUGCGUGCAUGUGUCCAAUAGUUGAAUUUUAAACUUCAAUUAGGAUUGUCUCAUGAUCACUAGGAGCCACGAACCCAUGUGCUAUAACGAUAAAGACAAAUCGGUUAGUUAGAGGGACAAAAGU